AUUGAACGUUGGCGGCAUGCCUAACACAUGCAAGUCGAACGGUAACGACGGAAGCUUGCUUCCGGGCGACGAGUGGCGGACGGGUGAGUAACACUUAGGAAUCUGCCCAGUAGUGGGGGACAACCAGGAGAAAUCCUGGCUAAUACCGCAUACGCACUACGGUGGAAAGUGGGGGACCUUCGGGCCUCACGCUAUUGGAUGAGCCUAAGUCGGAUUAGCUUGUUGGUGAGGUAAAGGCUCACCAAGGCGACGAUCCGUAGCUGGUCUGAGAGGACGAUCAGCCACACUGGGACUGAGACACGGCCCAGACUCCUACGGGAGGCAGCAGUGGGGAAUAUUGGACAAUGGGGGCAACCCUGAUCCAGCAAUGCCGCGUGUGUGAAGAAGGCCUGCGGGUUGUAAAGCACUUUCAGUAGAGAAGAAAAGCCUAGGGUUAAUACCCCUGAGUCUUGACGUAACCUACAGAAGAAGCACCGGCUAACUCCGUG
rnacentral:rRNA from 1 species